rnacentral:misc_RNA from 1 species
ACCUCCAUAUCAUCUUAUCUCACACGGGCGGGUCGCUUCAUGGUGUUGUGUACAUGUUGACACACUGCACAUCAGCCGGACAUUCACCACAGUGACCAAAGUGCUGCUACCAUGGCUUUCAACGCCUGCUUGAACAUCUUUGUGACUGUUUACUGCGUUGUGUGUCUGUACCCGGGGCUGCCCCAUGUUGAAGGAGGCAUUGACCAGGGCGAGGUAUUCUGGGAGUCGAAAAUAAUAUCAGACUUCCUCGUCAAUUCGGGCUACGUGAAGGAAGCGCGGCCUGUAAAAUCUGCCAACGCCUCCGUUGUCGUCACAAUCUAUCCCAUAUUCCUCAGCAUCGACAACAUAAAUGAAGCCGCCAACACUCUGACUACAAGGCUCAUCUUGUUCCAGCAAUGGACGGACAGCAGACUGACAUGGAAGCCAUCAGAGUAUGGAGGUGUGGCCAGCGUGAGACUCCCCUCGUUAAGGGUGUGGCUGCCGGAUAUAGUGCCUUAUAACACGGCACCAAGUACAGCCUCAGAUCCCCUGUAUGAAGAAACAGUUGACGUGUCGAAUGACGGCACCAUGAAAUGGGCACCAUUGAUCCUCGUGUCAUCACCAUGUCCCCUAGAUGUCACCAAUUUCCCAUUUGAUACCCAAUCCUGCACGAUCGUCUUUGGUUCUUGGAUGCACACAAGACAACACAUGGAUAUGAGGUUCUUCAAGGACGGAGCGAAAGAGAUGGAUAUUGACGCCUCAGACAGUUCCAUGGGCUUGCCAAUUGUUGAACAUCCGUAUUGGAACAUCAAAGACGACAAGGUGAAAGCCAAGCUGUCUUACGUAACGUAUGCGACGUAUGAAUUCACUAUACUAACCAUGACGGUGGAGGCGAAGAGGAAAGCUUCCUUCUUCAAGUACCUGGCCAUAGGGCCUGGAGCUCUCAUUGGCUUCCUGGUUCCCAUGAUGUUUUUACUGCCUGCCAGGUCCAAGGAAAAGAAUACGUUUGGUAUGCUGAUGAUCAUCGGGCUCAUUCUCCUCAUCUCGGUACUAGCUGAGGCCAUUCCCCUCAACCACAGCAGCACACCACGAGUAGGUCUCUUCUAUCUGAUCACACUCACGCUGAUUUGCUUUAGUAUGAUCCUCUCUAUAAUCGUCAGCAACCUCAGCGUCAGGGGCGCCAGACGCCGGCCCCUGCCACAGUGGCUACACCAGGCAUGUUUAAGCCGAAAUGGCCUACGGAGAAUUUUGUGUAUCGACAAGUACUCGCCCGUGGACAAUUUGUUCGCCGAAACUUUGCGGGAGACGGAGGACAUGUCUACGCAUGGGCAACCGGAAGUUCCGAGAGAGAGAGAAAUGGACAGCGUCCACACAAGUGAAAUGAAGGAUGUUUGCAAAUAUUUGAGAUACAUUUGUGGGAAAAUGUCGGCCGAAGACUCCUACAAAAACGUGAACCAGGACUGGGAGGAACUUGCACGGGUGGUGGACCGAGUCCUCUUCGUCAUAUUCUUCCUCCUGUACGCACUUAUGGCGGUGACCUUGUUGACAUAGGGGGUCCACGUGGAGAUGCACGCUUGCUGAAAGAAGGGUAUGGUUGUCCUGAAGACAGAGGUCAAUCAUGUCAAGCAGAGGUCAAUCAUGUCAGGCAGAGAUGUCGCUUUUUAUCACCCGUCCAUCAAUAUAACGAAGGGAGAAGGGAAAACCAAGAAGAGGCUUCACAGACUUUUCCAAUGUAAGAAUCGAACACGGGCCUUCAGCGAAGAAGCCAGCACCUUUACCACGAGGCCAUCUAACCACCCCUUGGGAAAUUCAAGUUUCUGUUCAGUGAUCCAUUCAUAUCAUUUUCACCGCUAUUUGGCCUUUGCGCCCAAUGGUUUGUAUGUAACAGGGUAAAGGAGAAAAAAAUCAGUUGUGCGUUGCUAAUUGAAAAUAAAUAAACCAGACAUUUAACCAUUGUGAGUGGACAGAACACCUGAACUGUUUGAAUGAAUACAGGUAAUAAUAAUAAUCCUAAUAAUCAAAACAACCAUCAUCAUCAUAAUAAUAAUAAGUAAUUGGCAUGGAAGCUCAAUAAAGAUGUUUUUAAAAAUCCCAAACUAUCAAAAGGCACCAGUUCAUCACUACACCUAUCUAUGUGCCAAGUUUGUUGAAGAAAUAUGUGACAGUUUCCAAGAUCUGCUCAGGAAACGACAUCAUGCAUGGUCGGACAGAUAGACUGACGUUGUCCAUUCCACGCCAUAGAUGUGCAGUAAAUUUGAACCCGAUGCUAAACCCCAAUUUGCCCCACUGCGCCGACAUAUUGAAUUAAAUGAGUUCAAGUUUUGUACUGAAACGAUAAGAUACUGUAUUCAGCUUAACAUCCAUGUACAUGUCCAUUCCGUCAUCAUAAUGUUGUCUUCAUCUAUCACAGGGAUGUGUUUAAGACUUUGUCUAACAAAUAAUCAUAGUAUUAUCUUGCUUUCAUUGCAAUCUUUGGUUGAAAAUGUAAAACAAUGUUGUUUUUUAUGAAGUCAUAUAUUGGGCACAUUUGGUCAUUAAACAGAUAUAAACCU